AAUUAAAGCUGCUAUUCCAUAUAAAAAUAAGUUUUACCAGCUUUCCGCACUUUUUUGGUUACGAUAAUUAAAACCCAUUGAGCACGCAAUCUUACAUUAAUUACUGCGCUUAACCCAGCGACUACCAUUGGGGUUAUUUUGUUCGCCAUAAACCUCUAAAAAAAGAACCUCCUCCCCGACUUGAAAUAACUAUGCGAAAAAGAUACAAAUUAUACAAAAUAAAUGGUUUUGUAAUGUACGAUGAAAAACCCCAACAACUUGGUUACAGAGGACCAUCGAAACAGGAAAGGAAGGACAAGAAGCUCUCUUGCAUGUUUCUAGUGAAUUCACUGUGCAGCGCACUUGGUGAACUUAUUUAAUCAAAGCCUUGGGACCCAUUUGUUCAAAGAGGGGUUAUACAGAGUGGGGAUGGAAUUAAACUAAGGCAAACCGCGCAUAUACUUGUAGACUUGUAGAUAGAUAGAUAAAAUCCUGCUCGACCAAAAUUAUCCUUUAAGUUGAUUUUUAGUUUCUGCCAUCAAAUCGGAUAAAAAUAGAGUGACAAGGAUAGCUAAAUAGACAGAGAAAGAGAGCGCAAACAGAAAAAAUAAGAAAAAGAAGAAGAAGAAAAAUUGUAUAAUUACAAAAGUUGCUUUGUGCAAAUCCUUGGGGAAAAUUUAAUUGUUUCACUGCAAGGACAUGAAUUGUCUCAACACAAGCAGCAGUUUUGUGCUGUAUGCUUUGUUCAGUUGUUUUGAAGAUGGAAACGAAACGAGAAAUCUUUUAGGAAACAGAAGUUUGCGUGGAAGACUUUUAGCAAUAAAAAGGAAAAUUUUGAGAGAUAGUUGGUGGUGUUUUUGUUGUUGGAUGACGAGUUUAUGUCUUAAAGGAAGUUACCUACUUGAUUCUUUGGCCAUGAAGUAAUGCUAGAGUGAAUAAAAUUCGGUUUUACUUGGUUGAUUUUUCGAAAAAAAAAAAAUAUUACAACAGAAUAAGUUUUGUUUUAUAAUAAGCUUUGGGUAGAUAGACAAAGAUAAAGAGUGAUGAAGAUAGUUUUUCAAGGACUUAAGAAUUUAAGGAAUGAAUUUCUUGUUUGAUGUUUUCAAUAAGGAAUUAAAAGUGGUGACGAAAUUUAUUUAA